AUUCCUGUUAUUGCUUCUCAUCAGUUCUUUGUUUCUGGUUUCCUAGUUUUCAGAGUCUUAGUUUCCAAGCAUCUAGUUUUUAUGUUUUGCUCCUGUAUUCAGUGUUCAGGGUUUUUUCCAGCAAAUAAAGCUGCUGCCUUGAGUUUACCUUUUCAUUUUGGGUCCUCAUCCUGCCUGCCACACAGCGAACAUGACAAAAUCCGUCUUAGAUUUAUAGUGACACCCACUCUAGGAGUUUUGUCUUCCACGAAAUAACUGGUGACCCUCCCACUUGUAUAAAAGACACAGUCCAGUCUUAGGCUCCUCACCCUGAGUGGAAUAAUGGGUCUGUUGAGAGCUAUAGCGAUCACAGCCGGAGCAGUGGAGGCUUUUACGCUGCAAGCAUGAUGUCUGCAGCUGUUGAUGGAGGAGGAGCGGCAGCAGGAAGUCUGGUGGCUGUUUUGCAGUCAGGAGGUAUGGCAGGUCUGUCUGGGGCCGCCACCGCAGCUGUGGGCUCUGUUGGAGGAGCUGUGGGAUUUUUGGCUGCUCUCAUCUGAGACCAGGAAAUUAUUGAAAUUAGAAUUAAAAAAAAA